ensembl:lncRNA
GCCGCCAUCUUGGGCGAGGCGGGGGCGGGGCCGCGGCGCCGCCAUCUUGCGGCGGGAGCGCCCCGCGGGCUCGGCGGGGUCAGACACACAGACAGGGCUCACACACACAGACAGACACACAGACAGGGCUCACACACAGAGACAGACACACAGGGCUCACACACACAGACAGACACACAGACAGGGCUUACACACAGCCAGACACACAGACAGGGCUCACACACAGACAGACACACAGACAGGGCUCACACACACAGACAGACACACAGACAGGGCUCACACACAGCCAGACACACAGACAGGGCUCACACACACAGCCAGACACACAGAGACAGACACACAGACAGGGCUCACACACAGAGACAGACACACAGACAGGGCUCACACACAGCCAGACACACAGACAGGGCUCACACACAGAGACAGACACACAGGGCUCACACACACAGACAGACACACGGACAGGGCUCACACACACAGAAGGACACACGGACAGGGCUCACACACACAGACGGACACACGGACAGGGCUCACACACACAGUCACACACAGCCACACACAGCCACACACAGUCACACACACAGUCACACAGUCACACACACAGUCACACACACAGCCACACACAGUCACACACACAGUCACACACAGUCACACACACAGUCACACGCAACGUCACACACACAGUCACACACAGCCACACACACAGUCACACACAGUCACACAAACAGUCACACGCAACGUCACACACACAGUCACACACAGCCACACACACAGCCACACACAGCCACACACAGUCACACACACAGUCACACACACAGUCACACACAGUCACACAAACAGUCACACGCAACGUCACACACACAGUCACACGCACCGUCACACACACAGCCACACACAGAGCCACACACAGCCACACACACAGUCACACACACAAUCACACAGUCACACAGUCACACACAGCCACACACACAGCCACACACACAGCCACACACAGUCACACACAGUCACACACACAGUCACACGCACAGCCACACACACAGCCACACACACAGUCACACACACAGUCACACACAGUCACACAAACAGUCACACGCAAUGUCACACACACAGUCACACACACCGUCACACACACAGCCACACACAGCCACACACAGUCACACACACCGUCACACACACUGUCACACACAGUCACACACAGUCACACACACAGUCACACACAGUCACACACAGAGCCACACACAGAGCCACACACAGCCACACACAGAGCCACACACAGCCACACACAGAGCCACACACAGCCACACACAGAGCCACACACACAGUCACACACACAGUCACACACAGUCACACACAGUCACACACAGUCACACACAGUCACACACACAGUCACACACAGUCACACACAGUCACACAGUCACACACACAGUCACACACACAGUCACACACACAGUUACACAGUCACACGCAGCCAUUCCGGGCCCUGAUAGCGGCACCAGUGCUCGGGCGGCUCUGGGGGCACAGCGAUCAUCAGCUGAAGGCAGAGCAGACACACCACAGC